rnacentral:rRNA from 1 species
UAGUUGGUGAGGUAACGGCUCACCAAGUCGACGAUCAGUAGCCGGACUGAGAGGUUGAACGGCCACAUUGGGACUGAGACACGGCCCAAACUCCUACGGGAGGCAGCAGUGGGGAAUAUUGCACAAUGGGGGAAACCCUGAUGCAGCGACGCCGCGUGAUUGAAGAAGGCCUUCGGGUUGUAAAGAUCUUUAAUCAGGGACGAAUAAUGACGGUACCUGAAGAAUAAGCUCCGGCUAACUAC